rnacentral:rRNA from 1 species
AUCUUAAUGAGAGUUUGAUCCUGGCUCAGGACGAACGCUGGCGGCGUGCCUAAUACAUGCAAGUAGAAC